rnacentral:rRNA from 1 species
UACGUAGGGUGCGAGCGUUGUCCGGAAUUAUUGGGCGUAAAGAGCUUGUAGGCGGUUUGUCGCGUCUGCCGUGAAAAUUCGAGGCUCAACCUCGAACUUGCGGUGGGUACGGGCAGACUAGAGUGUGGUAGGGGAGACUGGAAUUCCUGGUGUAGCGGUGAAAUGCGCAGAUAUCGGGAGGAACACCGGUGGCGAAGGCGGUUCUCUGGGCCUGUACUGACGCUGAGGAGCGAAAGCGUGGGGAGCGAACAGG